AACGAACGCUGGCGGCAUGCCUAACACAUGCAAGUCGAACGAAGCCUUCGGGCUUAGUGGCGCACGGGUGCGUAACGCGUGGGAAUCUGCCCUUUGGUUCGGAAUAACAGUUGGAAACGACUGCUAAUACCGGAUGAUGACGAAAGUCCAAAGAUUUAUCGCCAGAGGAUGAGCCCGCGUAGGAUUAGCUAGUUGGUGUGGUAAAGGCGCACCAAGGCGACGAUCCUUAGCUGGUCUGAGAGGAUGAUCAGCCACACUGGGACUGAGACACGGCCCAGACUCCUACGGGAGGCAGCAGUGGGGAAUAUUGGACAAUGGGCGAAAGCCUGAUCCAGCAAUGCCGCGUGAGUGAUGAGGGCCCUAGGGUUGUAAAGCUCUUUUACCCGGGAUGAUAAUGACAGUACCGGGAGAAUAAGCCCCGGCUAACUCCGUGCCAGCAGCCGCGGUAA
rnacentral:rRNA from 1 species